GAGCUUGAUUCUGGCUCAGAUUGAACGCUGGCGGCAUGCCUUACACAUGCAAGUCGAACGGCAGCGGGCCCUUCGGGGUGCCGGCAAGUGGCGAACGGGUGAGUAACACAUCGGACGUACCCUGUGGUGGGGGAUAACCCGUCGAAAGACGGGCUAAUACCGCAUAAGCUCUGCGGAGGAAAGCGGGGGACCGUCAAGGCCUCGCGCCACAGGAGCGGCCGAUGUCCGAUUAGCUAGUUGGUAGGGUAAAGGCCUACCAAGGCGACGAUCGGUAGCGGGUCUGAGAGGACGGCCCGCCACACUGGGACUGAGACACGGCCCAGACUCCUACGGGAGGCAGCAGUGGGGAAUCUUGGACAAUGGGGGAAACCCUGAUCCAGCAAUGCCGCGUGGGAGAAGAAGGCCUUCGGGUUGUAAAGCCCUUUUAGCGGGGAAGAAAUCGGCUGGGUGAAUAAUCUAGCUGGAUGACGGUACCUGCAGAAAAAGCACCGGCUAACUACGUGCCAGCAGCCGCGGUAAUAC
rnacentral:rRNA from 1 species